UAAAUUUAGACUGUCUAGAGCGCUUCGACUAUCAGUGUUGUGGUUCCGGUUCGGAGUUCCGUUUGUGGAAGAGGUGAGAGGUGCCAGUACCUGCGGCUGCGGCUGUGCCACCACAAGCUCCGUGGCCGCGUGAAGGCGAAGAUGUUCUCGCCGUCCUAUCUCGCGGAAUUGGCCGGAGGGUAGGAGGGGCGGCCGCAGCUGCUCCGGUGGCCGCAGUGGAGGUUCCUGCAGCAGGAGCUGCGCCUCUGGCCGGAGAGGCACGCGGAGAUGGAAGGGUUCGAGGUCCUGGGGAGGUGUUUCGAGGGCCAGGAGCAGAUGAAGGUGCCGCCGAGGAAGGAGUAGCUUAGCCGGCUGAGGAGGUGCAUGGUGUUGAUGCACUUGCGGGAGCGGCGCCGCCGGCCGCAGGAGCGCCACAGGCAGCUGAUGGCGGACCGGGGCCUCGUGGGAGAGGGGCGUCGGAUGCUGCUGAGGACCCGGCGCGAAGUCACCCGCCGCAGCCGCGUCCUGCUGACCUAGGCGCUCGUGCCGCUGUGCCGGGCGGACAAGGAGCGGCCGCUGUCGCGCCCCCGGUUGUAGCAGGUGCUGUACGAGUACUCCCGACGGAGGUUGCUGCCGUCGGGAUCCCAGCUCCCGCGCUAUGACGACGUGGGCACCAAGCCGCCCUCGUUCGGCCACCUCCCCCUCGUGGGCCGGCGCGGGUACCAGUGGCCCUACGAGACCAGGAUGCGCACGGGUCCGCGCCACCCGCCGCGCCUGCUGGGCUCCUACUUGGGCGACCGCGGCCCGCGCGGCCGCGACCUCUCCGAGCCGACGCACUCCUACGAGCACUGGCGCCCCGACCGCCUGCCCGAGCGGCGCGCGCUGGCGCGCAUGGUGCUGCGGCACCGGACGUCGCCCACCCCGCCGUGGCGCCGGACCGUGCCCAGGCUACCCCUCCCAGUACACAAGAAGGAGCUCUUCGGGCCUACGCUCUUGCGGUUCGUCGAGUACCUGGCGCAGCAGCGCAAGUAUCCGCCGCGGACUAUCUGCUUGAACGAGACGUACUGACGAACAAGCAAAUGACCCACUUAUUUAUCCAGUACCGCGGAUGGACCUCAAAAUUCAAAAGAACCUCAUAGCUAAAUGUCUCAGAGUUUUAAACACGAGGCUCUAAUAUGUAGCAAAAAAAAUUAACUGAGUAAGUAAUUAAUUCGUCUUCUCUUAAUGACCCAAUUAAUUGCCUCUUGACCUG
rnacentral:rRNA from 1 species